CCCGCUGAACUUAAGCAUAUCAAUAAGCGGAGGAAAAGAAACUAACAAGGAUUCCCCUAGUAACUGCGAGUGAAGCGGGAAAAGCUCAAAUUUAAAAUCUGGCGGUUCUUUGCCGUCCGAGUUGUAAUUUAGAGAAGCGUCUUCCGCAUCGGACCGUGCACAAGUCUCCUGGAAUGGAGCGUCAUAGAGGGUGAGAAUCCCGUCUUUGGCACGGAUCCCCGGUGCUUCUGUGAUGCGCUCUCGAAGAGUCGAGUUGUUUGGGAAUGCAGCUCAAAAUGGGUGGUGAACUCCAUCUAAAGCUAAAUAUUGGCGAGAGACCGAUAGCGAACAAGUACCGUGAGGGAAAGAUGAAAAGCACUUUGGAAAGAGAGUGAAACAGUACGUGAAAUUGUUGAAAGGGAAACGCUUGAAGUCAGUCGCGUCGACCGAGACUCAGCCUUGCCUCGGCUUGGUGUACUUCUCGGCUGACGGGUCAGCAUCAAUUUUGCCCCUCGGAUAAUGGCAAGGGAAAGGUGGCACCUUUACGGGUGUGUUAUAGUCUCCUGUCGCAUGCGAGGGGUGGGAUUGAGGAACUCAGCACGCGCCUCGGUGUCGGGGCUUCGGCCCACGUUCACGUGCUUAGGAUGCUGGCGUAAUGGCUUUAAACGACCCGUCUUGAAACACGG
rnacentral:rRNA from 1 species